ACGCUCGACACCUACGGGAGCAGCAGUGGGGAAUAUUGCACAAUGGGGGAAACCCUGAUGCAGCGACGCCGCGUGAAGGAAGAAGUAUUUCGGUAUGUAAACUUCUAUCAGCAGGGAAGAAGAUGACGGUACCUGACUAAGAAGCCCCGGCUAACUACGCGCCAGCAGCCGCAGUAAUCUGAGCGGGCUGGCAAGGC
rnacentral:rRNA from 1 species